rnacentral:rRNA from 1 species
AGCGAACGCUGGCGGCAGGCUUAACACAUGCAAGUCGAGCGGGCACUUCGGUGUCAGCGGCAGACGGGUGAGUAACACGUGGGAACGUACCCUUUGGUUCGGAAUAACGCUGGGAAACUAGCGCUAAUACCGGAUACGCCCUUUUGGGGAAAGGCUUGCUGCCGAAGGAUCGGCCCGCGUCUGAUUAGCUAGUUGGUGGGGUAAUGGCCUACCAAGGCGACGAUCAGUAGCUGGUCUGAGAGGAUGAUCAGCCACACUGGGACUGAGACACGGCCCAGACUCCUACGGGAAGCAGCAGUGGGGAAUAUUGGACAAUGGGCGCAAGCCUGAUCCAGCCAUGCCGCGUGAGUGAUGAAGGCCUUAGGGUUGUAAAGCUCUUUUGUCCGGGACGAUAAUGACGGUACCGGAAGAAUAAGCCCCGGCUAACUUCGUG